UACAUCUUCUAUUUUAAUUGC
ensembl:piRNA 21ur-11234 ncRNA